rnacentral:rRNA from 1 species
GAUGAACGCUGGCGGCGUGCCUAAUACAUGCAAGUCGAGCGAAUGGAUUAAGAGCUUGCUCUUAUGAAGUUAGCGGCGGACGGGUGAGUAACACGUGGGUAACCUGCCCAUAAGACUGGGAUAACUCCGGGAAACCGGGGCUAAUACCGGAUAACAUUUUGAACCGCAUGGUUCGAAAUUGAAAGGCGUCUUCGGCUGUCACUUAUGGAUGGACCCUCAUCGCAUUAGCUAGUUGGUGCGGUAACGGCUCACCAAGGCAACGAUGCGUAGCCGACCUGAGAGGGGGAUCGGCCACACUGGGACUGAGACACGGCCAAGACUCCGACGGGAGGCAGCAGUAGGGAAUCUUCCGCGAUGGGCGAAAGUCUGACGGAGCAACGCCGCGUGAGUGAUGAAGGCUUUCGGGUCGUAAAACUCUGUUGUUAGGGAAGAACAAGUGCUAGUUGAAUAAGCUGGCACCUUGACGGUAACUAACCAGAAAGCCACGGCUAACUACGUGCCAGCCGCCGCAGUAA